rnacentral:rRNA from 1 species
AACGACUCUCGGCAACGGAUAUCUCGGCUCUCGCAUCGAUGAAGAACGUAGCGAAAUGCGAUACUUGGUGUGAAUUGCAGAAUCCCGCGACCAUCAAUUCUUUGAACGCAAGUUGCGCCCGAAGCCAUCCGGCCGAGGGCACGCCUGCCUGGGUGUCGUGA